AAAAAGGUUUUACUUAAAACUACCCUUGAAAACUUGAAUUUUUCAG
rfam:Xenopus laevis strain J chromosome 6L, whole genome shotgun sequence.